rnacentral:siRNA from 1 species
UGGCUAGGGAUGUCAAAAUGGGUC